GGAAUUUUCCGCAAUGGGCGAAAGCCUGACGGAGUGACGCCGCGUGGGGGACGAAGGCCUUCGGGUCGUAAACCCCUGUCAGAGGGAAAGAAGGGUCGCCGACCUAACACGUCGGUGAUUUGACGGUACCUGCCGAAGAAGCCACGGCCAACUACGUGCCAGCAGCCGCGGUGAUACGUAGGGGGCGAGCGUUGUCCGGAUUUAUUGGGCGUAAAGAGCUCGUAGGCGGUUCGAUAAGUCAGGUGUAAAAACUCCAGGCUCAACUUGGAGAGGCCACCUGAUACUGUCGUGACUAGAGUCCGGUAGAGGAGCACGGAAUUCCUGGUGUAGCGGUGAAAUGCGCAGAUAUCAGGAGGAACACCAGCGGCGAAGGCGGUGCUCUGGGCCGGAACUGACGCUGAGGAGCGAAAGCGUGGGGAGCGAAC
rnacentral:rRNA from 1 species